AUUGAACGCUGGCGGCAUGCUUUACACAUGCAAGUCGAACGGGCCGGGGGCGACUCCGGUCAGUGGCGAACGGGUGAGUAAUACAUCGGAACGUACCUCGUAGUGGGGGAUAACUCGGCGAAAGCCGCGCUAAUACCGCAUAUGCUCUACGGAGGAAAGCAGGGGACCGCAAGGCCUUGUGCUAUGGGAGCGGCCGAUGUCCGAUUAGCUAGUUGGUGGGGUAAUGGCCUACCAAGGCGACGAUCGGUAGCUGGUCUGAGAGGAUGAUCAGCCACAC
rnacentral:rRNA from 1 species